GCCGAAGUGGUGGAAUGGCAGACACGCAUGGUUCAGGACCAUGUGCCCUUACGGGCAUAGGAGUUCGACUCUCCUCUUCGGCACCA
rnacentral:tRNA from 1 species